rnacentral:rRNA from 1 species
UACAGGGGGUGCAAGCGUUGUUCGGAAUUAUUGGGCGUAAAGCGCGUGUAGGCGGCUUUGCAAGUCGGGUGUGAAAGCCCUCAGCUUAACUGAGGAAGUGCGCCCGAAACUGCAGAGCUUGAGUACCGGAGAGGAUGGCGGAAUUCCCCAAGUAGAGGUGAAAUUCGUAGAUAUGGGGAGGAACACCGGUGGCGAAGGCGGCCAUCUGGACGGAUACUGACGCUGAGACGCGAAAGCGUGGGUAGCAAACAGG